AUACAGCCCUGCUCCUGCGUCACAUCCUCUUUCCGCUGCUCUUCUCGCUUCGAGACUCUUCUCCACACGAUGAGAGCUAAGUGGAGGAAGAAGCGCAUGCGCAGGCUGAAGCGUAAAAGGAGAAAGAUGAGGCAGAGGUCAAAGUAAGCCCUCGUCCCGCUGGCCAUGGCCCCGCCCUGUUGGACUUGAUUGACGGCUGUGACUGGAGCGGUUCUUGACCACCUCCUGCGGCUUCCCAAUGGCCGCAGGCUUCAUCUGCCCCCGUUCCUGACCUGGGACUCUUAACAUCAGAGCUGCGGCUGUUUGGUUCAUGGACCAUAAAUCAUGUCAACUGUCAUGUGGUGUUGAACAAUAAAUGAACACUGUUCCAAAACUUUAAA